GGGUUGUGAGGUUAAGCGACUAAGCGUACACGGUGGAUGCCCUGGCAGUCAGAGGCGAUGAAGGACGUGCUAAUCUGCGAAAAGCGUCGGUAAGGUGAUAUGAACCGUUACAGCCGGCGAUGUCCGAAUGGGGAAACCCAGUGCAAUUCGUUGCACUAUCGUUAACUGAAUACAUAGGUUAACGAGGCGAACCGGGGGAACUGAAACAUCUAAGUACCCCGAGGAAAAGAAAUCAACCGAGAUUCCCCCAGUAGCGGCGAGCGAACGGGGAGCAGCCCAGAGUCUGAAUCAGCUUGUGUGUUAGUGGAACGGUCUGGAAAGUCCGACGGUACAGGGUGAUAGUCCCGUACACCAAAAUGCACAGGCUGUGAACUCGAAGAGUAGGGCGGGACACGUGGUAUCCUGUCUGAAUAUGGGGGGACCAUCCUCCAAGGCUAAAUACUCCUGACUGACCGAUAGUGAACCAGUACCGUGAGGGAAAGGCGAAAAGAACCCCGGCGAGGGGAGUGAAAAAGAACCUGAAACCGUGUACGUACAAGCAGUGGGAGCACCUUCGGGUGUGACUGCGUACCUUUUGUAUAAUGGGUCAGCGACUUAUAUUCUGUAGCAAGGUUAACCGUAUAGGGGAGCCGCAGGGAAACCGAGUCUUAACUGGGCGUUAAGUUGCAGGGUAUAGACCCGAAACCCGGUGAUCUAGCCAUGGGCAGGUUGAAGGUUGGGUAACACUAACUGGAGGACCGAACCGACUAAUGUUGAAAAAUUAGCGGAUGACUUGUGGCUGGGGGUGAAAGGCCAAUCAAACCGGGAGAUAGCUGGUUCUCCCCGAAAGCUAUUUAGGUAGCGCCUCGUGAACUCAUCUUCGGGGGUAGAGCACUGUUUCGGCUAGGGGGUCAUCCCGACUUACCAACCCGAUGCAAACUACGAAUACCGAAGAAUGUUAUCACGGGAGACACACGGCGGGUGCUAACGUCCGUCGUGAAGAGGGAAACAACCCAGACCGCCAGCUAAGGUCCCAAAGUCAUGGUUAAGUGGGAAACGAUGUGGGAAGGCACAGACAGCCAGGAUGUUGGCUUAGAAGCAGCCAUCAUUUAAAGAAAGCGUAAUAGCUCACUGGUCGAGUCGGCCUGCGCGGAAGAUGUAACGGGGCUAAACCAUGCACCGAAGCUGCGGCAGCGACACUAUGUGUUGUUGGGUAGGGGAGCGUUCUGUAAGCCUGCGAAGGUGUGCUGUGAGGCAUGCUGGAGGUAUCAGAAGUGCGAAUGCUGACAUAAGUAACGAUAAAGCGGGUGAAAAGCCCGCUCGCCGGAAGACCAAGGGUUCCUGUCCAACGUUAAUCGGGGCAGGGUGAGUCGACCCCUAAGGCGAGGCCGAAAGGCGUAGUCGAUGGGAAACAGGUUAAUAUUCCUGUACUUGGUGUUACUGCGAAGGGGGGACGGAGAAGGCUAUGUUAGCCGGGCGACGGUUGUCCCGGUUUAAGCAUGUAGGCUGAUUGUCCAGGCAAAUCCGGAUAAUCAAGGCUGAGGUGUGAUGACGAGGCACUACGGUGCUGAAGUAACAAAUGCCCUGCUUCCAGGAAAAGCCUCUAAGCAUCAGGUAACAUCAAAUCGUACCCCAAACCGACACAGGUGGUCAGGUAGAGAAUACCAAGGCGCUUGAGAGAACUCGGGUGAAGGAACUAGGCAAAAUGGUGCCGUAACUUCGGGAGAAGGCACGCUGGUGUGUAGGUGAAGUCCCUGCGGAUGGAGCUGAGACCAGUCGAAGAUACCAGCUGGCUGCAACUGUUUAUUAAAAACACAGCACUGUGCAAACACGAAAGUGGACGUAUACGGUGUGACGCCUGCCCGGUGCCGGAAGGUUAAUUGAUGGGGUUAUCCGUAAGGAGAAGCUCUUGAUCGAAGCCCCGGUAAACGGCGGCCGUAACUAUAACGGUCCUAAGGUAGCGAAAUUCCUUGUCGGGUAAGUUCCGACCUGCACGAAUGGCGUAAUGAUGGCCAGGCUGUCUCCACCCGAGACUCAGUGAAAUUGAACUCGCUGUGAAGAUGCAGUGUACCCGCGGCAAGACGGAAAGACCCCGUGAACCUUUACUAUAGCUUGACACUGAACAUUGAGCCUUGAUGUGUAGGAUAGGUGGGAGGCUUUGAAGCGUGGACGCCAGUCUGCGUGGAGCCAACCUUGAAAUACCACCCUUUAAUGUUUGAUGUUCUAACGUUGGCCCCUGACCGGGGUUGCGGACAGUGUCUGGUGGGUAGUUUGACUGGGGCGGUCUCCUCCCAAAGCGUAACGGAGGAGCACGAAGGUUAGCUAAUCCUGGUCGGACAUCAGGAGGUUAGUGCAAUGGCAUAAGCUAGCUUGACUGCGAGCGUGACGGCGCGAGCAGGUGCGAAAGCAGGUCAUAGUGAUCCGGUGGUUCUGAAUGGAAGGGCCAUCGCUCAACGGAUAAAAGGUACUCCGGGGAUAACAGGCUGAUACCGCCCAAGAGUUCAUAUCGACGGCGGUGUUUGGCACCUCGAUGUCGGCUCAUCACAUCCUGGGGCUGAAGUAGGUCCCAAGGGUAUGGCUGUUCGCCAUUUAAAGUGGUACGCGAGCUGGGUUUAGAACGUCGUGAGACAGUUCGGUCCCUAUCUGCCGUGGGCGCUGGAGAAUUGAGGGGGGCUGCUCCUAGUACGAGAGGACCGGAGUGGACGCAUCACUGGUGUUCGGGUUGUCAUGCCAAUGGCACUGCCCGGUAGCUAAAUGCGGAAGAGAUAAGUGCUGAAAGCAUCUAAGCACGAAACUUGCCCCGAGAUGAGUUCUCCCUGAGACUAUAAGUCUCCUGAAGGAACGUUAAAGACGAUGACGUUGAUAGGCCGGGUGUGUAAGCGCAGCGAUGCGUUGAGCUAACCGGUACUAAUGAACCGUGAGGCUUAACCUUACAACGCCGAAG
rnacentral:rRNA from 1 species